UCCGUAGGUGAACCUGCGGAAGGAUCAUUGAAUCGAUCAAACACACACCGCGAACUCGCGUCUCGUCGUCCUCGGACAAUGGGGCAUGUCUAUGUUGUGUCGUGAUCACUCACAUCACAGCAAAUUCACAUGUGGUCGGUCGUGGGCGUGCGCUCGUCGUGCGCCCCGUCGUCCAGAUGUUCACGCCCCACUCUCGGCAUGGCCGCGCUGCUGUCUUCGUGUGUGCCUUGGGGCCCGCGUGGGGGUGGCACGUGCGAUGACCUGUGCUGAAGCUGAAACGCAGCGACUGUGACCGGUCCUGCGUCGAACCAAGAACAACUCUCAACAACGGAUAUCUUGGCUCCCGUAUCGAUGAAGAGCGCAGCGAAAUGCGAAACGUAACGUGAAUUGCAGGAUUCAGUGAAUCAUCAAAUUCUUGAACGCAAAUUGCACUCCAUCGCCUCCUGGUGGUGGAGUACGCCUGUUUCAGUGUCUGUAAAACCCCAUCACCCCCCCCCCCUAAAAAGGGGAAGGCGUGGUUUAUGGCGGUUGGGACUACUGGCUCAUCCACUGAAAUUGAGAAGGAGCGCGGGAAGCGGACGUUCGAGCGGUCUUCACGGGCGGUCUCGAAGCGGUCGCGAUCCGGCAUGACGAAGUAGCACUUUUCCGAGUGAUAUCUGAGUCCGGCCUGGCAUCGUGGACGUGCGCCGUUCUUCCUAACCAAAGCCUCCCCUAACACAGGAAAAAAUUCUCUUUACCUUGGACCUGAAAUCAGACGAGACUACCCGCUGAAUUUAAGCAUAUUAAUAAGCGGAGGAAAAGAAACUAACAAGGAUUCCCUGAGUAGCGGCGAGCGAAAAGGGAAGAGCUCAAAUUUAAAAUCUCCGACCCUUCGGCGUCGGCGAAUUGUAGUUUAGAGAGGCGUUUUCUGGUGUUGGGCCGGGCCUAAGUCCCUUGGAACAGGGCAUCAUAGAGGGUGAGAAUCCCGUAUGUGGCUCGGACUCCGACCCUUCAUGUGGCGUCCUCAAAGAGUCGGGUUGUUUGGGAAUGCAGCCCUAAAUGGGUGGUAAACUUCAUCUAAAGCUAAAUACCGGCGAGAGACCGAUAGCGAAAAAGUACCGUGAGGGAAAGAUGCAAAGAACUUUGAAAAGAGAGUUAAAAAGUGCUUGAAAUUGCUGAAAGGGAAACGCUUGAAGU
rnacentral:rRNA from 1 species